UUUUCUUAUGUCUGUUAAAUAAAAUAUUUAAAAAAAUAAAAAAACAAAAAAAAACAAAAACCAAAAAACAAAAACAAAAAAAAACAAACAAACAAAAAACAAAAUAUGGACAAGAAACCGAGAGCACGCAAUAAAAUAAUAAAAAUCCCCAGAGUUAUGAAACGACUCACUCCCGAGUAAAAUUGUGCAGAUUGUUCGGAUGCACCGUUUAAAUUAGGCCUAUUGCACAUAAAUUUAUCAAAGAGAAAGGCAGGAAUGGUAGCAGGAUAUUGCUAUGGCAACGGACAGUUACAUUGUAGUGGGCAAGGGGAAUGAAGAGAUUAUUGUUUAUUUGCAAGAGCGAUUAAAUAGUGGAAGAUACACUGCCAGAUGCCAUCUCAUGUCAUUAAUAACAGAACCGUUAUCGUGCAGUACCUCGUUACGUAGUCAUUGUGCUUUACAACUUUCAUUAAUUGAUCGGUACGAGGUUAUUACGGGGAUAAUUUGACUGGCAAAUUAAUCUCCUGCCUGUUUGAUGAACAAACAGUGGUUCGCGAUGUAGCCACUAGAAGGCGUUUCUGCUCCUUGUAGCGAUAUGUCGAGAAUUUGAACCGAGGCUUAUUUGGUAUUGAAGAGGAUCUCCUAGAAAUAAAAUAGCAAAAUGCAUCAAAAUACAUUUCCCUCUUACUUAAAUACCUUAUUGAAAGGCAAAUUAAAAGAGAAGCCAAAGCCCAUUGGGAAUUUUCACUCCAAGAGUAUUAUCAAUUGCAUCUUCUCCUUCACUGCCAUCAGUGCCACGCAUCUUCUCUUCGGGAGGAAAAAAGGGGAAAAAAAUAUCAGGUUCUUCAGAAAAAAAAAGUAAUCUCGCAUAUGUAUGUAUUUUUUAAAAAUCACACUUCCAUGCAGACAAGAAAAUACAGUAAUUUGCGUUUUUUUGUAGCACUUUUUGCAUUUUAUAUGGAGACAUUAAUCCCGAUGCGCUGCAGUGUAAAAUUGUUAAUCUGGUAUUAUUUAC
rnacentral:lncRNA from 1 species